UGGAUGUUUGUUAUAGAACAAAACAUUGGAGACCCGUCGAGAGAUUCCACAUGGAUAACUAUCUGAGUGUCGGUGGUUAAUCUCUAACGUUCGGUAGUGAAAUUGGUCCUUUGACUUGAGGUCGUCAUGGUACCUUAUAUGAGGACAGUCAUACUUUGGCGGUGUUGGAUGUUGCUCUGAAAAGGGCCGCUAAUACGACAUCGUUCGGAUACGUCAAGAAUCGUAUGAAGGUUGUGAUUGAUCAAUAAAGGAUUCGUCACUCUUAGAUAGUAGGAGAUUAUGAUCUGCGUUUCAUUCAAUUAAGUCAAUGAUGAAAUCCUUGGCCAAGGUGUACUCAUAA
rnacentral:lncRNA from 1 species